CUUAAAGUUUACAUCUUUUUAAGUUUUUGGCUUCUGGGUUUUAUGGGGUUUUGAGGUGAAAUGGCCUGAAUAGGUGAGACUUACUCUUGAGGAAAAGAGAGGAGACAAUUUCUGGGUUCUGCCGACACAGAGCAAAAGAGAGGAGACGGGG